AUACGUAGGUGACAAGCGUUAUCCGGAUUUACUGGGCGUAAAGGGCGUGUAGGCGGUCUUGCAAGUCAGAAGUGAAAUUCCUGAGCUCAACUCGGGCGCUGCUUCUGAAACUGCAGGACUUGAGUGCUGGAGGGGAUAGCGGAAUUCCUAGUGGAGCGGUAAAAUGCGCAGAUAGUAGGAGGAACACCGGUGGCGAAGGCGGCUUUGUGGGCAGAACUUGACGCUGAGGGGUCAAAGCGUGGGGAGAAAACAGGGUUAGAUACCCUGGUAGCCCACGCCGUAAACGAUGAAUACUAGGUGUAUGGGGUAUCGACUCCCUCUGUGCCGCAGUUAACACAAUAAGUAUUCCGCCUGGGGAGUACGGCCGCAAGGUUGAAACUCAAAGGAAUUGACGGGG
rnacentral:rRNA from 1 species